rnacentral:rRNA from 1 species
AUUGAACGCUGGCGGCAGGCUUAACACAUGCAAGUCGAACGAGUGGCGGACGGGUGAGUAAUGCUUGGGAAUCUAGCUUAUGGAGGGGGCUAACUACGGGAAACUGUAGCUAAUACCGCGUAACAUAGGAUGAGCCCAAGUGGGCUUAGGUAGUUGGUGAGGUAAAGGCUCACCAAGCCGCCGAGCACUAGCUGGUCUGAGAGGAUGACCAGCCACACUGGGACUGAGACGCGGCCAAGACUCCUACGGGAGGCAGCAGGGGGGAAUAGUGCGCAAUGGGGGCAACCCUGACGCAGCCAUGCCGCGUGAAUGAAGAAGGCCUUCGGGUUGUAAAGUUCUUUCAGCGGGGAGGCGUUACCCGCAGAAGAAGCACCGGCUAACUCCGUGCCAGCCGCCGCGGUAAUAC